UAUUUUCCCGAAGUAAAUUUUGCGGUUUUCAGAUUUACCAACAAUAUGUGAUUCUCAACAACAUCAUCACUGUGCUCAGUGAGAGCCAUCUCAGGAGUGGAGAAAGAAAUACCCAGCUGGACAUAUUCAUCAGAGGAGUGAAAAGGAACUGAAGAACGGAGACCAUUGUACAGCCAUUGUUGGCUGUAAGAAGUUUCAGCUUCUCCUGGGAAUGUGAUGUUUACCCAGUCAACCUGGAAUUACCCGGGCAGCCCUAGUGAGGUGAUCUGUAUGAUAGACCCCCGCCCUUCCCCCAAAAGAAGCCUGGCCGAAAUAGUCCACUCUACUAAAACUUCCUUUUCUACCCCCAUCUACCUAUAAAAGCUUUCCAUUUUGUACACUUCCUCAGAGUUCCUUUUUACUUGCUAGAGGGGAUGC